AGCCUGGGCGACAAAGCGAGACUCCGUCUCAAAAAAAAAAAAAAAAAAAAAAGCUUUACAUGUAUUUGAGGCCUGCUUGGGCCUACGCGCAUCUCCACCGUAGUGCUAAUCCCUUCCCAGUCCUUGGACAGCCUCAAUGAUGUAUUUAAUAGUAUUCUUUUAGCCCAACGCGAGAGCCUUUUCGUCUGGUUGUUUUUGUUUUUCGUUUUUAGAGACAGAGUCUUGCUCUAUUACCCAGGCUGGAGUGCAGUGGCAAGAUCUCGGCUCACUGCGGCCUCGAACUCCUGGACUCAAGUGAUCCUCCCACCUUGGCCUCCCAAAGUGCUGGAAUUCCAGGUGUGAGCCGCUACACCCGGCCUCUAGUUCUAUUUUUUUUUUUGCUCAGUAUUAGAAUUCGUAAGUUCUGGCCGCGGCAACACGUCCUUUCAUCUGUCUCAAGUUGCACUGUGGUGGUCACAGGACCUGUCCUGCACCUUGCACAUGUGGCCAUGAACAAGAUUCGCUCCUUGCUCUCAUGAGGCCUUCAUUCCAGUGAGACACAAAUGCAAACACAAAAUUCCAGAAGAGUGCUAAGUGCUGUCAUGAGGAACGAAACCAGGCUGGAAGAUGGGCUCUAACCCCAGAAAACUGAUGGAGAGGCCCAAGCAGCCUUGGGAGCAACAGUGCAGGUGUCUUUGAGUGCCCCUUGACCACACCCCGAGGACUGUGGCAGUGUCCUGGCCGUGUGUGGAAGGAUCGAAGGGCAGCAGGUGCAGCCUUGCUCUGCACAUGGACAGCAGCCGGCUGGUCCGCCGACACGCACCUUCAGCAGUAUACCUCCGACACGAGUUCCACCAUCCUGCUUCCGUAAAGCUGGGAAAGGCCGCAGUCCCUGGGUGCUGCUGGGUGGCGAGGAACUGUCCACCCACAGAAACCCCAGGUGACUGCUUCCAAUCACAAAUAUUCUAUAUUUUGCCCAUUUUGUAUAAGCUUAAAUAUAGUGUUAAACAAACCUCCAGCCAGUAUAUCUGUUAUCUUAAAAUAUUCAAUGCAUUUUAGGCAGGAGAUG